GUGGGAGGGGGCUUGCCCCCGAUAGCGGUGGGUCAGCUAAAUAUUUGGUAACUGAGGCACCGUAAUCGGGGGCAAGCCCCCUCCCAC
rnacentral:misc_RNA from 1 species